AACGAACGCUGGCGGCAGGCUUAACACAUGCAAGUCGAACGCCCCGCAAGGGGAGUGGCAGACGGGUGAGUAACACGUGGGAACGUGCCCAAAGGUUCGGAAUAUUCCCGGGAAACUGGGAGCAAUACCGAAUGUGUCCGCAAGGAGAAAGAUUUAUCGCCUUUGGAUCGGCCCGCGUCGGAUUAGCUAGUUGGCGGGGUAAAAGCCUACCAAGGCGACGAUCCGUAGCUGGUUUGAGAGAACGACCAGCCACACUGGGACUGAGACACGGCCCAGACUCCUACGGGAGGCAGCAGUGGGGAAUCUUGGACAAUGGGCGCAAGCCUGAUCCAGCCAUGCCGCGUGAGUGAUGAAGGCCUUAGGGUUGUAAAACUCUUUCGCCGAGGACGAUAAUGACGGUACUCGGAGAAGAAGCUCCGGCUAACUUCGUGCCAGCAGCAGCCGCGGUAA
rnacentral:rRNA from 1 species